UUCAAUUACCAUGCUUAAUCUCAAGUCCAUAACUUCUAUAUUUACUGAGAUAUUAAGGUUUUAAUACAAAAAUAGAGGUACCUUUGCGAUUUUUUUGUAUCAUGAAAAUUUUAUGGAAUCGUCUUCUCGAAACAUGAAAGAUAGUUUAUGUCCUGAACUUUACCAUACAUAAAUUUCAAACUUAAAUAUUCAGUAGUUUGGAAGAUAUGGACAUCCUGCCGAGUGGAAAAUAAGCAAUUUGAGGUAGCAUACACUCUCAAGGUAAUCUACAUUAAUGAGUUACGUGAUGUUAUUAACUUCAACAAUGUUUAAAAUGUGUUUUUCAAAGGGGCGUGCAAAUUAUAAAAGUACUUAAAUUUAAAAAAAAAUCUACUUAGGGUGAUAUUGAAGAAAUAAAAUGAAUUUCCCAAAUGGAGGCUGCUAUCAUGUUUAAUGAUUCAGCCUGUAAUAUCCCAUUGCUGGGCAUUUUCCUCUUUCUCUAUAUAGGAGAAUGAUUGAAGCUUAAUCCGCCACGCUGCUCCUCUGCAGGUUAGCGGAUAACAUACAUAAUCAAAAUUUAAAAAAAAAAAUUAUCACGCAGGCUUCAAAAGAAAUUUUGAAUUGCUAUUCAAAUAAUUUUAAAAUGAUUUUAUUUAAUAUGUUAAACUGGUGACCUAAUAAAUAUAAUAUUAGCGACAGUAUGAAGCCCGUAGAAAAUGCGAACGUUGACCACCCAUUCCAAUAUCUAUCAAAUAGGAAUUAAUAUUCUUUAAGUAAUUCAGAAGUUAAUUUAAAAAUAAUAAUCAGGUUCAUUUUACUACAAUUCCUGUGGAAUAUUUGUGUCGAAUUUGUCGAAAAGUAUAUGUGAUAUUUGUCAUUUGUGAUAAGCCUAUUUGUUUUAAAACAAACUUAAGAUUUACGUUACAUUAGACUUGGUUUGAGAGAAAUUAUUUGGUUCCAAUCAGGAGAAUCGAUUAAAUUUUUGUUAACAAGGUAAAAUUUGUAUUUGACAUUAAAAAUUGAUUAAUGAAUUAUAAUAGUUAAUAUGAGCAGCUAUCAACGAUUCGGAAUGUAGAUUCUGCAGAGAAGAAUGAGAAAGAAAACUCUGAUGUUACUCUUUUAAAAUAUAUGUAUACAUUACUCAAAUGUUCACUCAUUCCUGUGCUGCUUCAAUGUCCUUAUAGUAUAAUCUUGUACCGAAUAUUAUUUUAUUACUUUAAAUUCUGUAUUAAUGCAAUAUUCCAUAGUUUGGUUGUUAAGGGACUUAUUUUGGAAAGUAAUGUUAAACGAAAGUAAGGUAAGGAGUAGGAAAGAAAGGAAAGGAAUAAGGAAAUGAAGAAAGUAAUAAGGAUGUUAGGACAGUAAAAAAAUAAGGAACCGUGAGAGAAAUAAGUGAGGAAAAUAAUAACGCAAGUAAUGACAGGCAUAAGGAAGGAAUGACAGGCAUAAGGAAUAAAAAAAAUUUUUUUAGUAAAUAAAUUCACUUGUACAAAAUCCACGCUCUUUUGAAAAAUAUAUUAUUUAUGCUUGAUGGUUUAAUUCCACAAAUAUAGGUACACUAUAGUGUAUCAUAUUACUAUUAGUAGGUUUUGGUUGUUUAUAUAAAAAUGUAAGGUCAUACAUUAAUAUGAAAGAGUAUUUAUUUAUAUUAGACGAGUAGGCAAUUUUCCGUGAUUUUUUUCAUAAAAGUAUAAUAAUACCAUUUCUAUAUCUGGCGCACCUCAAUUGGGGAAGUACCCAAAUUUAGUUUACGUGGUUUAAUUUAAAAAAAAGUAAAAAUAGUAGAACUAUAUCAGCUUUUAGACUGAAUAAUUACGAGAUAAUACUGGUUCAAUCCGGUCACUACCAGUUAUUACUGGUUCACUCCGGCUUUUACCAGUUAUUUCUGGUUAACAAAAUAUUUUCAACUAUACCUAAAUAUUACUGCAUAUUAAUGUGAGAUUUCUAUUAAGUUGCGUAUUUUGUUAUAAAAACACGUAAAUGUUAAUUUUAGGUAUAAAAAUGUGUAAAUAAGUUAUUUUAUAAUAAAAGUAGUUAUUGAUUUUGAUUGUAAUAUGUUGUUUUAUUUUUAGGUUUUACUCGAAUGUAUGAAUGAAAACUUAGGUUGUCUAUGAUAGUGGAAAAAUACAAGGAUGUGUCGUCACAAUGGAAAUCGAUCGUCUGUUUGAGAGAAAAAAUGACAUAAGUUCAUUUUAUUAGAACUUUUUGGAAUUGGCAAUAAAAACUCUAUAAAUUAUAAUCUUCAAAAAGUUUAACAGAACUAUUGGUUGUGUCAAUGUUAUUUUUUUUUAAAUAUUAAUUGUACGUCUUUUCGUAUUUCAAUUUCUAUUAAAAUAACUACUUUUCUCUAACUAAGCGCCUUUUAAAAACAGGAUUCCGAAAUUGUAUUUAGUGAUUUAUACUUAAAACAGGUCAAACAAGUGUCAUCUAAUAUUAUUACCUAAAAUAUUCUUGAAAUAUGAGGAAGACAUAGUUAUCGCUAUGGAUAUUGAGCGUUAACCUCUUUACUUCUUUAUAUUGAAUAAGUACUAAAUAUUUUUAAAUUUUAUUUGUUUUUGUAGUAAAACUUUUUGCAACUUACACGAUGCCCUAAAUGGUUUAUACUCUUUCGUCGAUCGCUCAAUAUCCGUGUCGAUAUUUGAUUGUAUAUACUUGUAAUGAAACUGUGACAGAAACAAUUCUGCACAUAGCGCUGUACGUGACAUUGGCGGGUUCAACCGUGCCCCUGACACAACUGAAAGCCAUUAAACCAAUCAAUCAAUCAAUAAAGAAUUAGAAAAAAUAUUUUUUUUGAGGGUAGUCUGAAAUUGAUACUAUUUUAGAUAGAGGUGGUCUGACCUCUCUUAAAAAUGUAACCGCGAACGAAGUCACAGGUCAAACGUUAUGACGAAGAAUGUUCGGUAUCAUAAAAAAAGCUUAGUAAAUUAUUAUAGACACGGCUAUUUCUAAAAAUAACGUUGGUUACACACCUAACUUAUUACUUAGAUAAUAAAUAGAAUAAUGAAGUUUUAUAAAUAUUGUAUGAAAUAAACUUGUGGAAAGUUGGUAUAUGUUUUAUUUAAUCAUUUUUUGUUUCCGAACACCAAAAAACCGUUUCAAUUUCCAUCAAUCUAUACAAAUAAAUAAAAUUGGAGUGUCUGUUUGUAAUAUUAAAAUAACCGCUUUUUACUAAAUGCCUAUAAAUGUAUACACGGUACAUAUACCAAAAUAAAAUUUUUAAAAUUUUUGUCUGUCUGUUUGUUCCGGCUAAUCUCUGAAAUGGCUGGACCGAUUUUGACGGGACUUUCAC
rnacentral:misc_RNA from 1 species